GAGGGGAUGGGCCUAGUGAUUUUACACAGAGAGGGGAUGGGCCUAGUGAUUUAACACAGAGAGGGGAUGGGCCUAGUGAUUUAUCAUAGAGAGGGGCUGGGUCUGAGUGAUUUUACUUGCAGACGCAGAGGCGGGCGCCGCUGCAGAGUCGGGCCUUGGGGGAUUCACUGUGAGGGUAACAGGCGAGGGUGCUCCAGGCAAGCAGUACCUGCGGGGCGCCUCCCAGGAGGGGGCAGCAGCGCCUUGCACAAGGCCUGCCCGCUUGGCUCUCAGCCUCAGGGCUUAGGUGAUGGGAACCGCGGCUUCCCCUGGAAGGGUCGUCCCAGGGGACCUCCUCCGUCCCAGGGGACCUCCUCCCUGCCGGGGAAACCCGGCCUCUGGGCCUGGGUGAACGUGCCUUCCCGACCAUCCUGGCAGGCCUCGGGCUCUGGGGACAGCCUCCCGCCCUCCUCCUGAAUCUCUCCUCCAUUCUGGUCAGCCCCCAACCACCCCUGGUGAAACGGAGACCCCACGACUAGCUCGGGCCCCUCGCCCCAAGCCCUCCGGACUCUGCGGCAGUGAGCCCUGCUCGGGAGGCGGAGCUGCAGAGCCCACCCCGCUGCCGCAGCAGGGCCCUCCCCAGGCUGGCCCUGGGCCUCCCAGGACUCAGAGUCACCCGGUGUACAAAUAUAUCUCCUACCACACCUCGGAUGAGAAGGGAAAACGGAGGAUCGCUGUUUUGCUUAGAACUAAUCUGGUCUCUCGUCUGAGCCUCACCCACUAGUUAGUGGGAUGGGAGGAUACAGGAAAUGUCCAAUCCAGUUAAACUCUCCAGGUAUGCAUCUCUGCUCUCAUCGCUCCCUGGCACACCCCAGCCCACCCUGCAGCCUCGUCUCCAGUCCUGCACCUUCAGGCUGGAGUGGAGUAACCUGAUCUUGGCUCACUGCAACUUCUGCCUUCCAGUUUCAAGUGAUUCUCCUGCCUUAGCCUCCCGAGUAACUGGGAUUACAGAACAGUGUCUGACAUGCAAUGUUUGUUGAAUGAAUUGGUCUGGGAUCUGGCGACUGAGAGUUGAAAGUCUCACCCACGUGACAUGAGAAGGGAGAGCACCGUGAGAGGAGCGCGGGCUGCCCCUGUGCCUCACUUGCUGGUUCAUCGAACAGCAUCAAAGGACACGUCUGUGCGUGCCACGCGGGGGAAGAAUGUUUGACAUCCCUGAACUCUUGCUACCCGGCAGAGGGCCUGCAGCAUGGUCAUUACUUAAUAAAUAUUUAAGUUCAUUAAAACACAAGAAAAGGGCUCCUGAAAAUAGUCUGGAAGCACUCAGGGCCAGCUUUGUCUCUUUCCCAGUUUUGCUUUGGGCCAGCUGUGUGCUAAAUUUAUUCGCUUAUUUACUCAGCCAGUCAAUAAAUGCAGC